rnacentral:snRNA from 1 species
UUACGCCGAUACGGAUGAUGUAG